rnacentral:rRNA from 1 species
UACGUAGGGGGCAAGCGUUGUCCGGAUUUAUUGGGCGUAAAGAGCGUGUAGGCGGUUUGGUAGGUCCGUUGUGAAAACUCGAGGCUCAACCUCGAGACGCCGAUGGAAACCAUCAGACUAGAGUCCGGAAGAGGAGAGUGGAAUUCCUGGUGUAGCGGUGAAAUGCGCAGAUAUCAGGAGGAACACCGGUGGCGAAGGCGGGUCUCUGGGCCGUUACUGACGCUGAGGAGCGAAAGCAUGGGGAGCGAACAGG